rnacentral:rRNA from 1 species
AUUGAACGCUGGCGGCAUGCCUUACACAUGCAAGUCGAACGGCAGCACGGGUGCUUGCACCUGGUGGCGAGUGGCGAACGGGUGAGUAAUACAUCGGAACAUGUCCUGUAGUGGGGGAUAGCCCGGCGAAAGCCGGAUUAAUACCGCAUACGAUCCACGGAUGAAAGCGGGGGACCUUCGGGCCUCGCGCUAUAGGGUUGGCCGAUGGCUGAUUAGCUAGUUGGUGGGGUAAAGGCCUACCAAGGCGACGAUCAGUAGCUGGUCUGAGAGGACGACCAGCCACACUGGGACUGAGACACGGCCCAGACUCCUACGGGAGGCAGCAGUGGGGAAUUUUGGACGAUGGGCGAAAGCCUGAUCCAGCAAUGCCGCGUGUGUGAAGAAGGCCUUCGGGUUGUAAAGCACUUUUGUCCGGAAAGAAAUCCUUGGCUCUAAUACAGUCGGGGGAUGACGGUACCGGAAGAAUAAGCACCGGCUAACUACGUG